UGUUAAUGCUCUGUGUCUCUGCUGUCCAGAACGGGGCUUGGCUCUCUUUCACGCAGCGGAUUACCCGCGCGUGUGAAAGAGCCCUUAGUGUCAGAUUUUGAAGAUCAAAAUAUCUGUUUCAGUUGAUGGGAAUGAGGAAAACAAAAUAAAAACUUGGACACAGUUGGGUGAAUAAAGUGGACCUGUCGCUACAAAAUGCAAUGCAAUCUGAAAGCACCAUGUUAUAGAGCAGGAGAAGCUGAAUAGAUUAAUAUAUUUUUGUGGGAAAAGAGUCUGUAAAACCUAUAAUUUCUAAAAUGUAUAUUUAUAGGGUUCUUACAGCCUGUGUAUGAGUAUGCAUACAGCGAUAGCGUUCAGUCACUGAUACCUCUUGCUGCAGAUAGAGCAGCAUAUCAUUAAAACGAAAACUAGCGGUAUGACAUCUAGUAACCAUGCCCUAUUGUGCCGGGUAU